rnacentral:misc_RNA from 1 species
AAGUCGUAACAAGGUUUCCGUAGGUGAACCUGCGGAAGGAUCAUUAACACGUAUCCAAACGUUAACAGUCACGAUCGUUGGAGGCCGACACGGCCGACGACCGGGUCACCGGGCUCACGCCCCUUAAUCACAACUUAAUGCAUGUCAGUGCGCUUAAUUGUGCGGCGACCAUAAAACUCGAACAACUGUUAACAAUGGAUAUCUUGGUUCUC